rnacentral:rRNA from 1 species
GUGGGGAAUAUUGGACAAUGGGCGCAAGCCUGUUCCAGCCAUGCCGCGUGAGUGAUGAAGGCCUUAGGGUUGUAAAGCUCUUUCAGUGGGGACGAUAAUGACGGUACCCACAGAAGAAGCCCCGGCUAACUUCGUGCCAGCAGCCGCGGUAAUACGAAGGGGGCUAGCGUUGUUCGGAUUUACUGGGCGUAAAGCGCACGUAGGCGGAUCGUUAAGUCGGGGGUGAAAUCCUGGAGCUCAACUCCAGAACUGCCUUCGAUACUGGCGAUCUUGAGUCCGGAAGAGGUGAGUGGAACUCCUGGUGUAGAGGUGAAAUUCGUAGAUAUUAGGAAGAACACCAGUGGCGAAGGCGGCUCACUGGUCCGGUACUGACGCUGAGGUGCGAAAGCGUGGGGAGCAAACAGGAUUAGAUACCCGUGUAGUCC